GACAGAGGUGCCAAGCGUUAGGCGGAAUCACUGGGCUUAAAGCGUGUGUAGGUGGAUGUCUAAGUACCUUGUGAAAUCCCACGGCUCAACCGUGGAACUGCUCGGUAUACUGGACGUCUUGAGCCACUUAGGGGCUACCGGAACAAAUGGUGGAGCGGUGAAAUGCGUAGAUAUCAUUUGGAACGCCAAUGGUGAAAACAGGUAGCUGGGAGUGUGCUGACACUGAGACACGAAAGCCAGGGGAGCGAACGGG
rnacentral:rRNA from 1 species